rnacentral:SRP_RNA from 1 species
GCUGGGCAUGGUAGCGGGUGCCUGUAAUCCCAGCUACUCAGGCUGAGGCAGGAGAAUGGCUUGAACUUGGGAGGCAGAGGAUGCAGUGAGCCGAGAUUGUGCCACUGCACUCCAGCCUGGGUGACAGAGUGGGACUCUGUCUCAAAAAAAAAAAGUUACUCUUUUUUUUUUCUUUUUUGAGAUGUUGUUUCACUUUUGUUGCCCAGGCUGGAGUGCAAUUGGGCCAUCUCGGCUCACUGCAACAUCUGCCUUCCAGGUUCAAGUGAAUUUUCCUGCCUCAG